rnacentral:rRNA from 1 species
GACGAACGCUGGCGGCGUGCUUAACACAUGCAAGUCGAACGGAAAGGCCCUGCUUUUGUGGGGUGCUCGAGUGGCGAACGGGUGAGUAGCACGUGAGUAACCUGCCCUUGACUUUGGGAUAACUUCAGGAAACUGGGGCUAAUACCGGAUAGGAGCUCCUGCUGCAUGGUGGGGGUUGGAAAGUUUCGGCGGUUGGGGAUGGACUCGCGGCUUAUCAGCUUGUUGGUGAGGUAGUGGCUUACCAAGGCUUUGACGGGUAGCCGGCCUGAGAGGGUGACCGGCCACAUUGGGACUGAGAUACGGCCCAGACUCCUACGGGAGGCAGCAGUGGGGAAUAUUGCACAAUGGGCGGAAGCCUGAUGCAGCAACGCCGCGUGCGGGAUGACGGCCUUCGGGUUGUAAACCGCUUUCGCCUGUGACGAAGCGUGAGUGACGGUAAUGGGUAAAGAAGCACCGGCUAACUACGUG